rnacentral:rRNA from 1 species
GACGAACGCUGGCGGCGUGCUUAACACAUGCAAGUCGAACGGAAAGGCCCUGCUUUUGUGGGGUGCUCGAGUGGCGAACGGGUGAGUAACACGUGAGUAACCUGCCCUUGACUUUGGGAUAACUUCAGGAAACUGGGGCUAAUACCGGAUAGGAGCUCCUGCUGCAUGGUGGGGGUUGGAAAGUUUCGGCGGUUGGGGAUGGACUCGCGGCUCAUCAGCUUGUUGGUGGGGUAGUGGCUUACCAAGGCUUUGAGGGGUAGCCGGCCUGAGAGGGUGACCGGCCACAUUGGGACUGGGCUGCGGCCCAGACUCCUACGGGACGCAGCAGUGGGGAGUAUUGCACAAUGGGCGGAAGCCUGAUGCAGCAAAGCCGCGUGCGGGAUGACGGCAUUCGGGUUGUAUACCGCUUUCGCCUGUGACGAAGCGUGAGUGACGGUAAUGGGUAAAGAAGCACCGGCUAACUACGUG